GUUUCAGUAUUGAGUAAAUAGAAGCAAAACACAAUAUUAAAUGAAUAGGUAUAUACAAUAUAUGAAACAUUUGUCAUACUGAAUAAUUGUUCUGUGUUUAGUUGUAUGCUUUUAUGGUGUUUUAACUUUAAGCCUGUGUUGGAAUAGCACACAGUUUAUAAGGGUUUGGAUGCACUGCCAUUUUUACAACCGGGACUUCCUUGAGUUCUUUCAUUCCUUCAGGCAACUGGAAACUCAAGGCCUUCAACGGCCCAGCUGAUUGGCGCGGUAGAGUGGAUUGGCACGCCUCAGCUGUUUUACUCACCAGGGCUGCAGUAGAAGGACUCCUUGCGGAAACGCCCUUCAGAUGCCUUUUAGCUGCUUGGGGAAAUUUUUGUCAGACUUUCCAAGCAGGCAGGCAUAUUUUUUUGUACAUGAGUAUGGGAAGCCAGAAGAUUCAAACAGUGGAGAGGAAAAGGUAAGCAAUCAGAAGAGAUUGGACAGCCAUUUGUCUGAAAUUGGUAUAGGGUUUCCUGUCUGAGCAGAGGGUUGAACUAGAAGUCCUCCAACUCUGUUAUUCUAUUAUGCCUCUUGCAGGGACAUUGGCAAAGAGUUGUUGUUGUUGUUGUUGUUGUUGUUGUUGUUAGUUGUGAAGUUGUGUCCGACCCAUCACAACCCCAUGGACAACGUUCCUCCAGGCCUUCCUGUCCUCUACCAUCCUCUGGAGUCCAUUUAAACUCAUGCCAACUGCUUCAGUGACUCCAUCCAGCCACCUUGUCCUCUGUCGUCCCCUUCUUCUUUUGCCCUCCAUCUUUCCCAGCAUUAGGCUCUU